AAAAAACUGAUAUAUUGUUGUUUGUUUCCACGAGGUAUCAAUUUAUACAUGAAAACCAUGUCUUCCAAAAUGACCAAAACCAUAUCUUAUCUCGCCCUUUAGCUGUCAAAACUAUUUGCAUAUAUUAGCGUCUUAUUAGUUAUGGUAAAAAAAAUUAUGUGCUUUAGGACCUGAAUGAGAUUCAAUAUGUGUAUUUAGCUAACCGAAUAGAUAUGACUUAUUUUUUCUUGUACAGCAAUCUCCAUCGUGAAAUCGACCAAGCGGAAUCUGGUGUUUGAUCAUCAAGACGCGAAUUUGCAUCUUCUGGGCGUAGUAUGUAAUUAUGUGUUUAUUAGUAUAUGAAACAUUAUUAAAUUUGAACUGUUGAAUGUUGUAUAUGCUACAAGUUUACGAAAAAUUUGUAAAAAUUUGUAUUGCAUCGACAUGGAAAUUAAAAUAUGCUUAUAAGGAAAACUGAAUUGUAUAUCUUUGCAAAUAAUAUGGUAAGAAACAUAUAUAUGGUAAUAGAAAGCAUGCACUUCUUGUAUUAAUUUUAAGUCUAGAAUGUUGUGAUUGUGACUGCGUAUAUGAUAUAGAUUAGAAAAUGUUGAUGAGUGCAGUAGAUGAAUGCAUAUGAAUUGAUUACUUUAUAAAUUUUACAGUGCUUGUAUUGAACUUUAUAGCAUGAUUUUGUAUCACUUCAAUCAUUUAAAUUACUAAAAUCAUGCACUUGCCACUUAAUAUUUAUUAUUCGCAGUUAAAUUGAAGCAGCACUAUGUAUAAUGACCGUAGUUGGAUGUGGCAUCGAUUUGACGCUAACGGAUAUAUAAGAUCAGAAUUUGACGAGGGACUUAAGGAAUUUUUAGAUUUUGCUUAUUCUCAUCCAAAUGUAGUUGAUCAUGGUAAGAUAAGAUGUCCUUGUUCUAAGUGCUGCAAUCGAAAAUUUAACAAUCGAGAUAAUGUGCGUCA
rnacentral:lncRNA from 1 species